rnacentral:rRNA from 14 species
GGAGAAGAUUCCAUGGGAAGGAGAGUUCACCCUUAGAAUAGAUUCAUGAGCUGGGUUGAUAGCGUCCAGCGGCAGUUU